rnacentral:rRNA from 1 species
CCAAUAGCGUAUAUUAAAGUUGUUGCAGUUAGAAAGCUCGUAGUCGAACUUCGGGGGUUACUUAUUGGUCAGGCUUAAUUGUCUGCACUGGUGAGAUGAAUCUCUACCUUCUGAGGAACUUUCAUGCCAUUUAUUUGGUGUGAUGGGAAAUCAGGACUGUUACUUUGAAAAAAUUAGAGUGUUUAAAGCAGGCUAACGUCUGAAUACAUUAGCAUGGAAUAAUGAAAUAGGGCGGACUGAUUCUAUUUCGUUGGUUUCUAGGAUCACCGUAAUGAUUAAUAGUGAUAGUUUGGGGCAUUAGUAUUCAAUUGUCAGAGGUGAAAUUCUUGGAUUUAUUGAAGACUAACUACUGCGAAAGCAUUUGCCAAGGAUGUUUUCAUUAAUCAAGAACGAAAGUUAGGGGAUCGAAGACGAUCAGAUACCGUCGUAGUCUUAACCAUAAACUAUGCCGACUAGGGAUCGGGCGAAGUUAAUUUUAUAAUGACGCGUCCGGCACCUUACG